ACCUGGCUGGCUCAGUUGGUAGAGCAUGUGACUUUGGAUCUCAGAGUUGUGGGUUUGAGCCCCAUUUUGGUG
rnacentral:tRNA from 1 species